CAGUCGCCACGGGAAUACGAAGGGUGCAAGCGUUAAUCGGAAUUACAGGGCGUAAAGCGUGCGUAGGCGGUGAGUUAAGUCUGCUGUGAAAUCCCCGAGCUUAACUUGGGAACUGCAUUUGAAACUGGCAAGCUAGAGUCUUGUAGAGGGGGGUAGAAUUCCAGGUGUAGCGGUGAAAUGCGUAGAGAUCUGGAGGAAUACCGGUGGCGAAGGCGACUAUCUGGGCCAACACUGACACUGAGACACGAAAGCGUGGGGAGCAAACAGGAUUAGAUACCCCUGUAGUCCCUGUCUCUAUACA
rnacentral:rRNA from 1 species